GACGAACGCUGGCGGCGUGCUUAACACAUGCAAGUCGAACGGUGAAGCGCCUUCCUUUUUGGUGGGUGUGGAUGAGUGGCGAACGGGUGAGUAACACGUGAGUAACCUGCCCCCUUCUUCUGGAUAACCGCAUGAAAGUGUUGCUAAUACGGGAUAUUCUGGGUCUGUCGCAUGAUGGGUCUGGGAAAGAUAUUGUUUCGGUGGGGGAUGGGCUCGCGGCCUAUCAGCUUGUUGGUGGGGUGAUGGCCUACCAAGGCGGUGACGGGUAGCCGGCCUGAGAGGGUGGACGGUCACACUGGGACUGAGACACGGCGCAGACUCCUACGGGAGGCAGCAGUGGGGAAUAUUGCACAAUGGGAGCAAGGCUGAUGCAGCGACGCCGCGUGAGGGAUGGAGGCCUUCGGGUUGUGAACCUCUUUCGCCAGUGAAGCAGGCCUGCCUCGUUUGUGGGUGGGUUGACGGUAGCUGGAUAAGAAGCGCCGGCUAACUACGUG
rnacentral:rRNA from 1 species